UCGACCUGAGAUCAGAUAAGAUUACCCGCCGAAUUUAAGCAUAUUAAUAAGCGGAGGAAAAGAAAACAACUGUGAUUCCCCUAGUAAUGGCGAAUGAAACGGGAUCAGCCCAUCGCGUAACUGCAGGUCAUCUUGGCCUCGUGGCAUGUCGCGUUUGGGAUAGUCUCAUCGGGAGCCGGUCUGCCAGUCAAAGUCCAACUUGACAGUGGCCACUGCCCACAGAGGGUGAUAGGCCUGUAAGGCGGCGGUCCGCUCCUGCCGACUUUUCCCCAGAGUCGGGUUGCUUGGGAGUGCAGCCCAAAGUGCGAGGUAAACUCCUCGUAAGGCUAAAUACGACCCCGAGACCGAUAGCAAACAAGUACCGUGAGGGAAAAUUGAAAAGAACUUUGAAGAGAGAGUUCAAUAGUACGUGAAACUGUGUGGUGGUAAACGGAGGGGUUCUCGAAGUCUCCGUGGGGUACUCAACCUUGGUGGCGGGCAGCUGGGCCGAGUGCGAUCCGCAAAGACGCCUCGGCCUGCUGCAGCCUGCCUCUCGGGUGCAUUUCCCCCGCGGUUCACGGCAGGAACCGUUGCGACCGGACCGAAGGCCCCGAGUGAAGUUGUCGCUUAUGGUGGCAGCCCCGUGUGUCCUGGCUCUGGCUGUGACGGGUACGUGAGAGGACUCGUAUAGCGAGCAACGCUCU
rnacentral:rRNA from 1 species